GUUACAUUGCAUUAAAAAUCAGUAGCCUUUCGUGAAAUGUGGCUUCCUCGUUUCGUUUCUUAACAUUAAUGAUAUAUUAGUGUUUAAAAAUCUGUCAUGCUGAAAGGAAAAUAUACAAAAAUCUUAAAACAAAUGAUUCUUCUAAUUAGAUGACAGUCUGUUUAAUAUGCAUUACGGAAAUAUAAUUUCACAUAAAUCACUGAAAAUUUGUAUGUAAAGUAAAAGUAGAAACAUGUUUAAACAAAGCAAUUUUUUCACCUAUAAUAACGACAUGAUGUGGAAAACGUUCGUUCGAGAAUCUUCCGACGUUCCGAACACAUCAUCGGAAAUAAAAGAACAUCGAUUAGGAUUUCAAGGCAAUGAAGCCAAAGAGGCUUACGAAGAGGUUGUAAGUCAAGAGAGUAACGUGAAUUUGCAACUUGAGAAACAUAAGUAUUGCAAACCUAGGACACUUGUUACUCGAAACAAUGUAACGUCGAGAUCGAUCUUUUCGAAUGAGAAAGUAAAAAAGAAUCAAAUCUCCGAGGAACAGGUGACGAUUAAUUCCAUAUUAAAAGCAGUGGAACAAAAGGAUUUAAAAUUUUUACUGAAACACGCAACACAAGAAAAUGUUAAUUUAACAGAUGACUUUGGUUGGACUCCUUUAAUGUCGGCUGCUUAUUGUGGCCACUUAGAUAUUAUCAAAUUUCUAUUGAAUCUUGGAGCCAACAAAAAAGCUAGAGAAAAAUCUGGUCUUACUGCUGCACAACUGGCUUUAAAAAAAAAUUAUUUAAACAUAGUUGCUUUACUCAAAAAGAAAACAGAAUCUAAAAUUAAUAAAAUUUCAGCAGAAAUAAAUGUUGAUAAGUCAGGAAUGAAUAAUGAUGGUGUGUUGCAGACAAGAUCAGAACUAAUAGAACCUUUGACAAAUCACAUUGGAAUCAUACAUAAAAAUAAUAAUAGUGCAAGAGAACAGUUGGAAGAAGGUACAGGUUUUUACUGUGAGAUUUGCAAAGUUUAUUUUUAUGAAACAUCUUGGAAGAAACAUGAGACAUCUACCCUUCAUAUUUUCAAUACAAAACCAAAACUAUCAAACGCUAUGUAUGGAAUAUCAAAACAAAAUAAAGGUUAUCAAAUGCUUUUAAGUACUGGAUGGGAUGAAGAAUGUGGUCUUGGUCCUUCAGGGAAAGGAAUGAAAUACCCUAUAAAAACAUGUCUAAAAAUUGAUAGAAAAGGAAUAGGUCAGCCAAGUGGAAAUGGAUACAGAGUAACUCACUUCAAACCUGGAGAUACUACAGCAGUUAGUAAUCUUACGAUACCCAAGCAAAAAUACCUUAAAAAGAAAGACAGAGAAAAAUUGUUGAAUAGAGAAGUUACAAAAGAAAGAUCAUUACGCAUUGCUUUAUCUUAAAGUUCAGCAUUUUUGUAAGCUAAUAUUUAAGUUUCUUGUUGAAACUUAAUGAAAUAAUUUUUACAUUCAGUACUUAUUUUAAAUGUAUGAAGGAUGAUCAACAGAUGUUAUUAAAACAUUUGCAACAGGUAGAAGAAAAAGCAGGGGAGAUACUGACAGAUCGCCAGGAAAUAGUUGCCUUAGACAAGAGAAGAAACAAUGAUAGAGUUGGAAUGAGGGCACUACAG